rnacentral:lncRNA from 1 species
CGAAAAGUUCUUGGUAAUCCGGGUAGAGGAUCGAUUAAGACUGUAGCAGGAAGUGGAAUAGCUCGGACGAUUCCUUCUUUGACAUCUACUUCAACACCUCUUAGAUCAGGGUUGCUAGAAAAUCGUACUGAAAAGAGGAAAAGAAUGAUAUCAACUGGCUCAGAAUUGAAUGAAGAUUACCCUAAGGAAAAUGAUUCAUCAUCGAACAACAAGGCCAUGACAGAUCCCUCCAGAAAGUAUUUAACCAGCAGUAGAGAAAAGCAGCUGAGUUUGAAACAGUCAGAAGAGAAUAGGACAUCAGGGCUUUUACCUUUACAGUCAUCAUCCUUUUAUGGUAGCAGAGCUGGAUCCAAGGAACACUCUUCUGGUGGCACUAACUUAGACAGUAUUCUGGAAGAAAAGACUAAGGAAAAUAAAGGCAAGGAAAUUGGC